rnacentral:rRNA from 1 species
AUUAAACGCUGGCGGCAUGCCUUACACAUGCAAGUCGAACGGCAGCACGGGGGCAACCCUGGUGGCGAGUGGCGAACGGGUGAGUAAAGCAUCGGAACGUGCCCUGGAGUGGGGGAUAACGUAGCGAAAGUUACGCUAAUACCGCAUAUUCUGUGAGCAGGAAAGCAGGGGAUCGCAAGACCUUGCGCUCUGGGAGCGGCCGAUGUCGGAUUAGCUAGUUGGUGGGGUAAAGGCCUACCAAGGCGACGAUCCGUAGCGGGUCUGAGAGGAUGAUCCGCCACACUGGGACUGAGACACGGCCCAGACUCCUACGGGAGGCAGCAGUGGGGAAUUUUGGACAAUGGGCGAAAGCCUGAUCCAGCCAUGCCGCGUGAGUGAAGAAGGCCUCGGUUGUAAAGCUCUUCGGUGGGGUAAGGAAUUAGGCAUGGGCGUAAUAACCCUCGUGUAGAUGACGGUACCUGGAGAAGAAGCACCGGC